rnacentral:rRNA from 1 species
CCUACGGGAGGCAGCAGUGGGGAAUUUUGGACAAUGGGCGAAAGCCUGAUCCAGCAAUGCCGCGUGAGUGAAGAAGGCCUUCGGGUUGUAAAGCUCUUUUGUCAGGGAAGAAACGGUGAGAGCUAAUAUCUUUUGCUAAUGACGGUACCUGAAGAAUAAGCACCGGCUAACUACGUGCCAGCAGCCGCGGUAAUACGUAGGGUGCAAGCGUUAAUCGGAAUUACUGGGCGUAAAGCGUGCGCAGGCGGUUUUGUAAGUCUGUCGUGAAAUCCCCGGGCUCAACCUGGGAAUUGCGAUGGAGACUGCAAGGCUAGAAUCUGGCAGAGGGGGGUAGAAUUCCACGUGUAGCAGUGAAAUGCGUAGAGAUGUGGAGGAACACCGAUGGCGAAGGCAGCCCCCUGGGUCAAGAUUGACGCUCAUGCACGAAAGCGUGGGGAGCAAACGAGGUAUUAGACUACCCUGGUACGUCCACGCCCUAAACGAUGUCUACUAGUUGUCGGUUUUAAUAACUUGGUAACGCAGCUAACGCGUGAAGUAGACCGCCGUGGGGAGGUACGGUCGGUCGAGAAGUUAAACGUUACUAAGUUAGAAGUUAGACGGCGNGAGAGNGCGACGGACGACGACGAGGGAGGAGG